UAGGGAAUCUUCCGCAAUGGACGCAAGUCUGACGGAGCAACGCCGCGUGAGUGAAGAAGGAUUUCGGUUCGUAAAACUCUGUUGUUAGAGAAGAACAGCGCAUAGAGUAACUGUUAUGCGUGUGACGGUAUCUAACCAGAAAGCCACGGCUAACUACGUGCCAGCAGCCGCGGUAAUACGUAGGUGGCAAGCGUUGUCCGGAUUUAUUGGGCGUAAAGCGAGCGCAGGCGGUUAGAAAAGUCUGAAGUGAAAGGCAGUGGCUCAACCAUUGUAGGCUUUGGAAACUGUUUAACUUGAGUGCAGAAGGGGAGAGUGGAAUUCCAUGUGUAGCGGUGAAAUGCGUAGAUAUAUGGAGGAACACCGGUGGCGAAAGCGGCUCUCUGGUCUGUAACUGACGCUGAGGUACGAAAGCGUGGGGAGCAAACAGG
rnacentral:rRNA from 1 species